rnacentral:rRNA from 2 species
UGCAGUCGAGCGGUAGAGAGAAGCUUGCUUCUCUUGAGAGCGGCGGACGGGUGAGUAAUGCCUAGGAAUCUGCCUGGUAGUGGGGGAUAACGUUCGGAAACGGACGCUAAUACCGCAUACGUCCUACGGGAGAAAGCAGGGGACCUUCGGGCCUUGCGCUAUCAGAUGAGCCUAGGUCGGAUUAGCUAGUUGGUGGGGUAAUGGCUCACCAAGGCGACGAUCCGUAACUGGUCUGAGAGGAUGAUCAGUCACACUGGAACUGAGACACGGUCCAGACUCCUACGGGAGGCAGCAGUGGGGAAUAUUGGACAAUGGGCGAAAGCCUGAUCCAGCCAUGCCGCGUGUGUGAAGAAGGUCUUCGGAUUGUAAAGCACUUUAAGUUGGGAGGAAGGGUUGUAGAUUAAUACUCUGCAAUUUUGACGUUACCGACAGAAUAAGCACCGGCUAACUCUGUGCCAGCAGCCGCGGUAAUACAGAGGGUGCAAGCGUUAAUCGGAAUUACUGGGCGUAAAGCGCGCGUAGGUGGUUUGUUAAGUUGGAUGUGAAAUCCCCGGGCUCAACCUGGGAACUGCAUUCAAAACUGACUGACUAGAGUAUGGUAGAGGGUGGUGGAAUUUCCUGUGUAGCGGUGAAAUGCGUAGAUAUAGGAAGGAACACCAGUGGCGAAGGCGACCACCUGGACUAAUACUGACACUGAGGUGCGAAAGCGUGGGGAGCAAACAGGAUUAGAUACCCUGGUAGUCCACGCCGUAAACGAUGUCAACUA